GACGAACGCUGGCGGCGUGCCUAAUACAUGCAAGUCGAACGAAGAUGUACCGGUUUUUUCACCUGAAAGAGUUGGGGACGAGUGGGUAACGCGUAGGUAACGUGCCUGCUACAUAGGGAUAAAUAAUGGAAAGGAUAGAUAAUAAAGCAUAGAAAAUGACAUUACAUGAAUUUUGCUUGUAUAAAACAUUGGUUUCAUAACAAGAUGAGAUUGCGUUGCGUUGCAUUAGCUAGUUGGUGGGGUAAAGGCCUACCAAGGCGACGAUGCAUAGCCGACCUGAGAGGGUGAUCGGCCACACUGGGACUGAGACACGGCCCAGACUCCUACGGGAGGCAGCAGUAGGGAAUCUUCCGCAAUGGGCGGAAGCCUGACGGAGCAACGCCGCGUGAGUGAAGAAGGAUUUCGGUUCGUAAAGCUCUGUUGUUAGGGAAGAACGAUUGUGUCGUAACUAGACACAGUAGAGACGGUAACUAACCAGGAAGCCACGGCUAACUACGUG
rnacentral:rRNA from 1 species